rnacentral:rRNA from 1 species
GAUGAACGCUGACAGAAUGCUUAACACAUGCAAGUCGAUGGGGAAGUGGUGCUUGCACCAUGGCAACCAUGGCGGACGGGUGAGCAACGCGUAAGGGACUUACCUGCAGGACUGGGAUAACAGGGGGAAACUCCUGACAAGACCGGAUAAUGUCAUGGAGCUGCAUGGCUUUAUGAUGAAAGGAGACGCCUGCGGAGAGCCUUGCGUCCUAUUAGCUAGUUGGUGAGGUAAUGGCUCACCAAGGCGAAGAUAGGUAGCCGGCCUGAGAGGGUGGACGGCCACAAGGGGACUGAGAUACGGCCCUUACUCCUACGGGAGGCAGCAGUGGGGAAUAUUGGACAAUGGGGGCAACCCUGAUCCAGCAAUUCUGUGUGCACGAAGAAGGUUUUCGGAUUGUAAAGUGCUUUCAGCAGGGAAGAAGUAAGUGACGGUACCUGCAGAAGAAGCGACGGCUAAAUACGUG